rnacentral:rRNA from 1 species
GUUGAACGCUGGCGGCAGGCUUAACACAUGCAAGUCGAGCGGGGAAGGGUAGCUUGCUACCUGACCUAGCGGCGGACGGGUGAGUAGUGCUUAGGAAUCUGCCUAUUAGUGGGGGACAACAUUCCGAAAGGAAUGCUAAUACCGCAUACGCCCUACGGGGGAAAGCAGGGGAUCUUCGGACCUUGCGCUAAUAGAUGAGCCUAAGUCAGAUUAGCUAGUUGGUGGGGUAAAGGCCUACCAAGGCGACGAUCUGUAGCGGGUCUGAGAGGAUGAUCCGCCACACUGGGACUGAGACACGGCCCAGACUCCUACGGGAGGCAGCAGUGGGGAAUAUAGGACAAUGGGCGAAAGCCUGAUCCAGUCAUGCCGCGUGUGUGAAGAAGGCCUUUUGGUUGUAAAGCACUUUAAGCGAGGAGGAGGCUACUGAGAUUAAUACUCUUGGAUAGUGGACGUUACUCGCAGAAUAAGCACCGGCUAACUCUGUGCCAGCAGCCGCCGCAG